ACUUUAAUAAUUUAAAAAAAAUACUGGUCUUGUAAACCAAAUUUAAGUUAACUCUUUUAAAGUA
rnacentral:tRNA from 1 species